UACGAAGGGGGCUAGCGUUGUUCGGAAUUACUGGGCGUAAAGGGCGCGUAGGCGGCCUUCUAAGUCGAACGUGAAAUCCCCGGGCUUAACCCGGGAACUGCGUCCGAUACUGGAAGGCUUGAAUCCGGGAGAGGGAUGCGGAAUUCCAGGUGUAGCGGUGAAAUGCGUAGAUAUCUGGAGGAACACCGGUGGCGAAGGCGGCAUCCUGGACCGGCAUUGACGCUGAGGCGCGAAAGCCAGGGGAGCAAACAGG
rnacentral:rRNA from 1 species